UCGCGUCAUGCGCCGUAGGCAGGAGCGGGGGACCCAAGGUAGGCGCCGGAUCCGGUGAAGUGCGCCGGAUGCGGCUCGGGGUGAAGCCGCGUCCCGCAGGGGAACGCGGCCGGGCAACUCAACCGGCCCGAACCCGACAGCUCACCUCGUAGGCGUCGGUGAGGGGAUCC
rnacentral:sRNA from 2 species